rnacentral:lncRNA from 1 species
AUUAUAAUACUCUUUUAAGUUUUAACGGCUGAGAAAUGAGUGCAAUAAAAUUAAAAUAUUGGAAACUUGAUUAUUAAAAUAAAAGAGGGUAAACUUCAAAUACCACUCCUGUGGUUUCGUAUUUUUUUACUUUAGUAUCUUAUGGUUUAAAAUGCAUCAAUUUAGUAUCCCGUGGUUUCGUUUUUCUCUCUUCGUCGGUUCCUCCGUUAACUUUUUAUUAAAUCAUAUACAAAAAAAUUUCAGAUAUCUCACCUAUAGUUUAUCGAAUAUUCACUUUAUUACCUUUUAAUUUUAACAUCGUCACUUAUUUAACGAAAAAAUUACUGAAGGGAAUAACAAAAAGAAAAAAAUAAAACUAUAAAGUAUGAAAGUGAUACAAUUUAAACUAUAGAGUACUAAAAUAAAAAAAUACGAAAUAACAUGAGUGGUAUUUGAGGUUUUCACUUAAAAAAAAAAAC